UAAUUUAUCUAAUUAGUAUUUUUUUUAAAGUAAAAGCAAAAUAAUUUUGAAAAACAAAAAUGCGAGCCAGCACGGCUCGACGCAAUCUAUGUUCAGCUUAGGCUAACCUUUGAAACUUUGGGCAAGACAAAGGUACGAUCAGCUAAACUCAGGGUGUCAUUUCGUGCUGGCCCACAUGUCCUUGUGAGCCUAGCCGCCACGGUCUUCUAGUAAUCUCCAGUUGCAGUGAGACAAGGGCAUAAGCGUAACUAUGUUAAAACGCAUUAGGUGUGAGAAUAUUUAUGAAAAAUUAGAGUUUUUACUGAAAUUUAUUCCUUUUAUGUAUUUUUUUCUUCUUCUUUUUUCUGUAUUACAACCUUUGCCAAACCAAAAUUUGGGUUUUGCGCUUUAUCUAAGGAAAGUCAAUCCCUUAACCGAUUACUUUAAUUAAAUUAAUUGAAGAAAACCAAACGAGUACUUAAAACUGUGUGUGUAUAAUUUUUCUUUAAUAAGAACAUCUUUAUUUUCAAGUAAGGAUGUUAUUAAAAUAUAAAGAAAU
rnacentral:lncRNA from 1 species